rnacentral:rRNA from 1 species
GAUGAACGCUGGCGGCGUGCCUAAUACAUGCAAGUCGAGCGAUGAAGAUUGGUGCUUGCACCGAUUUGAAGAGCGGCGAACGGGUGAGUAACGCGUGGGGAACCUGCCUUUGAGCGGGGGAUAACAUUUGGAAACGAAUGCUAAUACCGCAUAAUAACUUUAAACAUAAGUUUCAAGUUUGAAAGAUGCAUUUGCAUCACCUAAAGAUGAUCCCGCGUUGUAUUGGGUAGUUGGUGAGGUAAAAGCCCACCCAGGCGAUGGUUCAUAGCCGGCCUGGGGAGGUUGAUCGGCACAAUUGGACUGGGGAACGGGCCCAGCUCCUUCGGGGAGCAACAGUAGGGAAACUUCGGCAAUGGGGGGAAAUCUGGCCGGACAACGCCGGGUGGGGGAAGGAAGUUUUCGGAUCGUAAAACUCUGUUGAUAGGGAAGGACGUUGGGGAGAGUGAAAAGCUCAUGAAUUGACGGUAACUACCCAGAAAGAGACGGCUAACUACGUG